GUGGGGAAUCUUCCGCAAUGGACGAAAGUCUGACGGAGCAACGCCGCGUGAGUGAAGAAGGUUUUCGGAUCGUAAAGCUCUUUCGUUAGGGACGAACGUGCUCUUUGUGAAUAAUGAGGAGUAAUGACGGUACCUAAAUAAGAAGCCACGGCUAACUACGUGCCAGCAGCCGCGGUAAUACGUAGGUGGCAAACGUUGUCCGGAAUUAUUGGGCGUAAAGCGCGCGCAGGCGGGAUAUCAAGUCUGUCUUAAAAGUGCGAGGCUCAACCUCGUGAGGGGACAGAAACUGGUAUUCUUGAGUGUCGGAGAGGAAAGUGGAAUUCCAAGGGUAGCGGUGAAAUGCGUAGAGAUGUGGAAGAACACCAGUGGCGAAGGCGACUUUCUGGACGAUGUCUGACGCUGAGGCGCGAAAGCUAGGGGAGCGAACGGGAUUAGAAACCCUUGUAGUCC
rnacentral:rRNA from 1 species